rnacentral:rRNA from 1 species
GACGAACGCUGGCGGCGUGCCUAAUACAUGCAAGUAGGACGCAGUUGCGAACGGGUGUGUAACGCGUAGGUAAAUGCCUAUUAGAGGGGGAUAACUAUUGGAAACGAUAGCUAAUACCGCAUACUAGUAGAUGGAUCUGCUUUGUAUUAGCUAGUAGGUAGGGUAAUGGCCUACCUAGGCAACGAUACAUAGCCGGCUCGAGAGGGGGAUCGGCCAAAAUGGGACUGGGACAAGGCCCAGACUCCUACGGUAGGCAGCAGGAGGGAAUCUUCGGCAAUGGGGCGAACCCUGACCGAGCAACGCCGCGUGAGUGAAGAAGGUUUUCGGAUCGUAAAGCUCUGUUGUUAAGGAAGCGGUACUUAACCAGAAAGGGACGGCUAACUACGUGCCAGCAGCCGCGGUAAUAC